UUGGAGGGCAGUCUGGUGCCAGCAGCCGCGGUAAUUCCAGCUCCAAUAGCGUAUAUUAAAGUUGUUGCAGUUAAAAAGCCCGUAGUUGAAUUUCGGGAUCAAAUUGUCGGUCGUGCCUCGGUACGCACUGGUAUUAUUGGUUCCUACCUUCUGAAGAACCGCGAUGUCAUUAAUUUGGUGUCGUGGGGAAUCAGGACUGUUACUUUGAAAAAAUUAGAGUGUUUAAAGCAGGCUUACGCUUGAAUACAUUAGCAUGGAAUAAUGAAAUAGGACGUUUGAUUCUAUUUUGUUGGUUUCUAGGAUUGACGUAAUGAUUAAUAGGGAUAGUUGGGGGCAUUAGUAUUCAAUUGUCAGAGGUGAAAUUCUUGGAUUUAUUGAAGACUAACUACUGCGAAAGCAUUUGCCAAGGAUGUUUUCAUUAAUCAAGAACGAAAGUUAGGGGAUCGAAGACGAUCAGAUACCGUCGUAGUCUUAACCAUAAACUAUGCCGACUAGGGAUCGGAUGAUGUUAAUUUUUUAAUGACUCAUUCGGCGCCUUACGGGAAAC
rnacentral:rRNA from 1 species